ensembl:Y_RNA Y_RNA Y RNA
GGCUGGUUUAAGGAUAGUGGAUUAUCAGAAUUUACUAACAUCAGUAUUGCUAAAGUUGGUAUACAAAUUCCCACUGCUAAAUUUGACUGGCCAAAA